rnacentral:rRNA from 1 species
UACGGAGGGUGCAAGCGUUUGUCCGGAUUUAUUGGGUUUAAAGGGUGCGUAGGCGGCCUUUUAAGUCAGUGGUGAAAGCCCAUAGCUCAACUAUGGAACUGCCAUUGAUACUGAAAGGCUUGAGUACAGACGAGGUUGGCGGAAUGGAUGGUGUAGCGGUGAAAUGCAUAGAUACCAUCCAGAACUCCGAUUGCGUAGGCAGCUAACUAGGCUGUAACUGACGCUGAGGCACGAAAGCGUGGGGAGCAAACAGG